rnacentral:rRNA from 1 species
UGUGCCAGCAGCCGCGGUAAUUCCAGCUCCAAUAGCGUAUAUUAAAGUUGUUGCAGUUAAAACGUCCGUAGUCAAAUUUUAGUCUUUAGAUGGGGUGGCCUGGUCUUCAUUGAUCAAGCUCGCUUUUAUCAAGACUUUUUUUCUGGUUAUGCUAUGAAUAGCUUCGGUUGUUUAUAGUCUCUAGCCAGAUGAUUACCAUGAGCAAAUCAGAGUGUUUAAAGCAGGCUUUUAAGCUUGAAUGUGUUAGCAUGGAAUAAUGAAAUAUGACUUUAGUCCCUAUUUCGUUGGUUCAGGAACUUAAGUAAUGAUGAAUAGAAACGGUUGGGGACAUUUGUAUUUGGUCGCUAGAGGUGAAAUUCUUGGAUUGACCGAAGACAAACUACUGCGAAAGCAUUUGAUCCAGGACGUUUUCAUUGAUCAAGGUCUAAAGUUAAGGGAUCGAAGACGAUUAGAUACCGUCGUAGUCUUAACCACAAACUGUGCCGACUAGAGAUUGGGCUUGUUUAUUAUGACUAGCUCAGCAUCUUAGCGAAAGUAAAGUUUUUGGGUUCUGGGGGGAGUAUGGGACGCAAGGCUGAAACUUAAAGGAAUUGACGGAAGGGCACCACCAGGAGUGGAGCCUGCGGCUUAAUUUGACUCAACACGGGGAAACUCACCAGGUCCAGACAUAGUAAGGAUUGACAGAUUGAAAGCUCUUUCUAGAUUCUAUGGGUGGUGGUGCAUGGCCGUUCUUAGUUCGUGGAGUGAUUUGUCUGGGUUAAUUCCGAUACGAACGAGACCUUAUUCUGCUAAAUAGGCAGGUC